AUUGAACGCUGGCGGCAGGCCUAACACAUGCAAGUCGAACGAGUGGCGGACGGGUGAGUAAUGUCUGGGAAACUGCCUGAUGGAGGGGGAUAACUACUGGAAACGGUAGCUAAUACCGCAUACCAUCGGAUGUGCCCAGAUGGGAUUAGCUAAUAGGUGGGGUAAAGGCUCACCUAGGCGACGAGCCCUAGCUGGUCUGAGAGGAUGACCAGCCACACUGGAACGGAGAAACGGUCCAGACUCCUAAGGGAGGCAGAAGUGGGGAAUAUGGCACAAUGGGCGAAAGCCUGAUGCAGCCAUGCCGCGUGUAUGAAGAAGGCCUUCGGGUUGUAAAGUACUUUCAGCGGGGAGGCGUUACCCGCAGAAGAAGCACCGGCUAACUCCGUGCCAGCAGCCGCGGUAAUUC
rnacentral:rRNA from 1 species